GGUAGUAGUGGUCUAGACAGUAUCAGUAUCAUGGUGAGAACAGCUGGCUGGUAGUAGAGGUCUAGACAGUAUCAGUAUCAUGGUGAGAACAGCUGGCUGGUAGUGGAGGUCUAGACAGUAUCAUGGUGAGAACAGCUGGC